GAUGAACGCUGGCGGCGUGCCUAAUACAUGCAAGUCGAGCGAACAGACGAGGAGCUUGCUCCUCUGACGUUAGCGGCGGACGGGUGAGUAACACGUGGAUAACCUACCUAUAAGACUGGGAUAACUUCGGGAAACCGGAGCUAAUACCGGAUAAUAUAUUGAACCGCAUGGUUCAAUAGUGAAAUACGGUUUUGCUGUCACUUCUAGAUGGAUCCGCGCCGCAUUAGCUAGUUGGUAAGGUAACGGCUUACCAAGGCGACGAUGCGUAGACGACCUGAGAGGGUGAUCGGCCACACUGGAACUGAGACACGGUCCAGACUCCUACGGGAGGCAGCAGUAGGGAAUCUUCCGCAAUGGGCGAAAGCCUGACGGAGCAACGCCGAGUGAGUGAUGAAGGUCUUCGGAUCGUAAAACUCUGUUAUUAGGGAAGAACAAAUGUGUAAGUAACUAUGCACGUAUUGACGGUACCUAAUCAGAAAGCCACGGCUAACUACGUG
rnacentral:rRNA from 1 species